GUCUACGGCCAUACCACCCUGAACUCGCCCGAUCUCGGAAGCUAAGCAAGGUCAGGCCUGGUUAGUACUUGGGUGGGAGACCGCCUGGGAAUACGGGGUGCUGUAGGCU
ensembl:rRNA 5S_rRNA 5S ribosomal RNA